UGAGCUAAUGCCUGGAUACAGAGAAAUCAGUCUGUGGGGGUGGGGAGAGGGAGCAGCCAGGAAAGGGGAGGGGAGGAAGGGCAGCUUUUGCACCCGCGGGCGGUGCAUGUGCCCCAUGCCUAGGGAGACUGCUGGACCCACCUUGGAGCCCCUAGGAGAAGAGACUCACGGCACUGAGCAGACACCCUCGGGGGAGGCCGCACAUGAACUGGAGUGAGGAGAACUCCAGGGGCCAGGUGAAGAUGAGGGUGUUUACCCAGAGAUGUAAGAAGUGCCCCCAACCUCUGUUUGAGGACCCUGAGUUCACGCAAGAGAACAUCUCAAGGAUCCUGAAAAACCUGGUGUUCCGAAUUCUGAAGAAAUGCUAUAGAGGAAGAUUUCAGUUGAUAGAGGAGGUUCCUAUGAUCAAGGACAUCUCUCUUGAAGGGCCACACAAUAGUGACAACUGUGAGGCAUGUCUGCAGGGCUUCUGUGCUGGGCCCAUACAGGUUACAAGCCUCCCCCCAUCUCAGACCCCAAGAGUACACUCCAUUUACAAGGUGGAGGAGGUAGUUAAGCCCUGGGCCUCAGGAGAGAAUGUCUAUUCCUACACAUGCCCACAAGGCUCACGUGAGGGCUGUCAGCUUGGAGCUCUGGGAUUCCUACUAGCUAACCAGAAUUUUUCAUGUUCAGAGGACAGAGUCUCAGAAACUAUUUGCUCCUUAGACCAUGUCCUCCCAGUGACUGAACCAAAGCUGAGAUUUUUCCUAGUAAAAUCGAACAAAGGAUUGACUUUAUAAAACUUCCGUUGAAAGAUGGAUGUAAGGGGGCACGUUACCUGGCUAGAUAGAAAGUUCUGAUUUU
rnacentral:lncRNA from 1 species